rnacentral:rRNA from 1 species
UGGUAGAGUGAAACUGCGGAUAGCUCAUUACAACGCCUACAUUUUUCUUGAUUGUCAAUCUACAGGAUAACCGUAGAAAAUCUAGAGCUAAGACUUGCAUUGAUAUCCAGCCUUUACUGGCUGGAUGCAUUUUUCUGAUAUCCGAUCGCAUGUUGCCGUAAGGCUUCAAGCGAAAGGUGAUUCUAGAUGACUUUGCUGAUCGUAUGGCUUUAUGCCGACGACAGAUCAAAUAAAAUCGCGCCCUAUCAAUUUGUAGUUAGGAUAUUUUCCUAACUAGAUUACGACGGGUCACGGGGAAUCAGGGUUCGAUUCCGGAGAGGCAGCUUGAGAUAUCGCUACCACAUCUAAGGAAGGCAGCAGGCGCGCAAAUUACCCACUCCCGAACUGGGGAGGUAGUGACGAGAAAUAUCAGUCUAACUCUUUGAGCAAUAGACUGGAAUGGACGAAAUUCAGGUCCAUUCGUGAAUACUAGCGAGGGGCAAGUCUGGUGCCAGCAGCCGCGGUAAUUCCAGCCUCGCACGUACAUGUAAAAUUUGUUGCAUUUAAAAAGCUCGUAGUCGGACUGUUUCACGACGUUUUGUUCAAAGCCAGCUGCAACUCGGCUAACCAGUUUCGAAGGGUUUUGAACUGGUCAAUUAGUCGUUGCAACUGGAUGAAUAGUCGUGAACAAGUACAAAUUUCGCUCCUACACUUAAUUGUGUGGGGGAUUGAACAUUUGUAGACGUACCUUGAACAAAUCGGUUUGUUCAAAACAGGCCAUAUCGAGCGCCUGGACAUUCGAGCAUGGAAUGAUCGAUCGAGACCUGAUCGUUUGGUCGGAAACGAAUAAGGUCCAGGUCAAAAGGGACAUUUGGGGGCAUACGAACUCGGCAGCGAGAGGUGAAAUUCUAAGACCUGCCGAGGUCGAACUAAAGCGAAAGCAUUUGCCAAGAAUGUUUUCAUUGAUCAAGAACGAAAGUUGGAGGAUCAAAAACGAUCAGAUACCGUUGUAGUUCCAACUUUAAACUAUGCCGACUGUUGGGGGCCAGUUCGGUAUAUCCG